rfam:Trichobilharzia regenti genome assembly, scaffold: TRE_scaffold0097120
GUCCAGAUGACGAGUCCCAACCAGGACGAAAUGCGCAUCCUGGAC